AUGUUGGCUCCAAGCAGUCAACACUACCAAUGUCACCAGAGAAAACUGCUGAUCUCAGUAGUUACUGUCUAUGUCCUGGCCAGCUGGAGAAAUAAAGAGACAAGUCUCUACCGCUUCUGCCCCACGUCACCAUGGCAGUUUCUCUUGGCCCUGUGUCUGAUCUGGGGGCCGACAUUACCCUCCUGGAAAUCAACCAGGAGCUUCCGUCCCAGCUGUAUCAAAGCAAACAGGACUUUUGAGACCUCAAAGAGAAGUUCCUUGUCUCUGAGUCCACUGCCUACAUCCUGGCCAACCAGCUUCAGAAAUACAAGUGUGGAGCGUGCAAAGACAUCAUUGAAUCGGUGCUGGGGGAGAAGCUGCAGUUCCAGGAGGGGAAACCAGCAGAGAAGUCAAUGUUAGUGGAGAAGCUCAAGUAAGGGGGGCUCUGUGCUGGGUGUCUGGUGGGAAGUUGUAGGAAUCUCUGAAGGGGGCAAGGAGCAACUCUGGGCAAGGAGAAUGGCCCAAAUUUUCAUGGCAGCUACAUGCAUACAAAUUUGCAUAACACAAUUCAAGAACAAUAAUUGUUAAACUAUGGACUCCAAUUACUCAAAGCUUCCUUGACUCUUUUUUUUAAAAUAAAAUUUAUUGAGGUGAAAUUCA
rnacentral:lncRNA from 1 species